rnacentral:rRNA from 1 species
UGGGGAAUAUUGCACAAUGGGCGCAAGCCUGAUGCAGCCAUGCCGCGUGUAUGAAGAAGGCCUUCGGGUUGUAAAGUACUUUCAGCGAGGAGGAAGGCAUUAAGGUUAAUAACCUUAGUGAUUGACGUUACUCGCAGAAGAAGCACCGGCUAACUCCGUGCCAGCAGCCGCGGUAAUACGGAGGGUGCAAGCGUUAAUCGGAAUUACUGGGCGUAAAGCGCACGCAGGCGGUCUGUUAAGUCAGAUGUGAAAUCCCCCGGGGCUCAACCUGGGAACUGCAUUUGGAAACUGGCAGGCUUGAGUCUUGUAGAGGGGGGUAGAAUUCCAGGUGUAGCGGUGAAAUGCGUUAGAGAUCUGGAGGAAUACCGGUGGCGAAGGCGGCCCCCCUGGACAAAGACUGACGCUCAGGUGCGAAAAGCGUGGGGGGC